GGCUCUGUUUGCAAUCUCCUUGUCUUUUAUUGUCUCUCCUCCUCUCCCAAGUAGCUGAAAAGCAUCCAGGAGUUGCUGUGUGCGAGGCUCUGCCCUUUAUUGCCUCCCAUCCUCUGGCCAGCCGAUGCUGCCCAGCCUGCCCACCCUUCCGGCUGCCAGUACUUUACACCAUGGGCUCAGCUCUGCCAGGGUGUCUGUGGAAGAGCGAAUGUCCUCCUGCACAAGCUGGUGAGCCUGGAGCUCAGCUCUUGCCGUCUGAGGUGGAGACGGGGUUUCGAGCGUCCCCAAGGACAGCAGACACGCAAUCCAGUCCUGGGGGAGCGGCACUGGCAACGGAUGACGGGUGAUGCGUGCCAGACUCCCGGUGAGCACGCCGAAUGCCGUGGCCAGCACGCCACCCGGUAAGAGCGGAGCGCUGCCUGCCAUGGAAGAGUGACUAAAGGGUGGGUGGAAAAGAACGGCUCGGGACCAAUUUAGCAGCUGCAGUGCCAAGAGGAGGGGCUCGCCCGGAGAGCAGGAAGGGACGGGCACAGCUGGGGCUCCGAGGGCGAGGAGUGACACGGCUGCGAGCGCGCGUACCGCGGAGACGGGGCUGGAGGCCGAGCAGGGAGCUGAGAGCAUCCCACAUAGUGUGCAAUUGUGUUUCUGAGUGCACUUUCGCAGCUGCCAU